GCACCGAUUUCCCAGCGCCGACCGCCGUCGCCUGUGACUUAGCAUCGCCGGGUGUCGCUUCUCAACCCUCACGUUGGCCUUCCCUCUCCCUUCCGAGGCAGCGCCGAGCACAGGAACCCUACCGCCGGCUAUCUUCUCCUUUUUCCUCUUCUUUGUGGAGCUGAGCCCCUUCCCUGUGCCCUAGCCGCCAGCCACCGAGCGCCUUCGAUUUCUGCCUCAGUAGCCCCUUGCUGGAAACAACACCGGAGCCCUAAAUCCUCCGUUCUCUAUUCCAGUGAGCUACUGGAUGAAGGUAAGGGUCAGGUUGCAAUUUUAGUUGUGCACUUGUAUUCGAUUGGGUAGUUAAUGCAUUCGUAGUGUGAUUUUUGGGUUUGAUUGUUGGAAGGCACCUAGUUGGUUCCGGCUAUUACAGCAUUAAUAGUUUGUUGCUGUCCCUGCUUGAUUCCGGCUACCACACCCCUGUCAACGGAUUGGCACAUCUGAGCAGGGAGUUUGUGUUCUGUGGAUUUGCUUGGUUCCAGCAUCAACAGUAGGUUGUUUGCUGUGGAAAGUUGCUGUUGUCGAUCACCACUUCCUUCUUCUUGAUCCGUUUAAUUUGAGGACUUUGACGCGAGACGAGUAUCUCGGAGUCAGAUUGGACAUUUCGAUUGGAGGCGGG